GCCUACCAUGGUGGUAACGGGUAACGGGGUGUUAGGGCACGACACCGGAGAGGGAGCCUGAGAAACGGCUACCACAUCCAAGGAUGGCAGCAGGCGCGCAAAUUACCCAAUCCCGACACGGGGAGGUAGUGACAAUAAAUAACAAUACGGGGUCCUUUCGGGUUUCGUAAUUGGAAUGAGUACAAUUUAAAUCUCUUAACGAGGAACAAUUGGAGGGCAAGUCUGGUGCCAGCAGCCGCGGUAAUUCCAGCUCCAAUAGCGUAUAUUAAAGUUGUUGCAGUUAAAAAGCUCGUAGUUGAAUUUCGGGAUUAGUACGUCGGUCGUGCCUUAGGUACGUACUGGUGUUACUGGUUCCUACCUUCUGACGAACCAUCAUGCCAUUAAUUUGGUGUGGCGGGGAAUCAGGACUGUUACUUUGAAAAAAUUAGAGUGUUUAAAGCAGGCUCGCGCUUGAAUACAUUAGCAUGGAAUAAUGAAAUAGGACGUUGACCCUAUUUUGUUGGUUUCUAGGAUUGACGUAAUGAUUAAUAGGGAUAGUUGGGGGCAUUAGUAUUCAAUUGUCAGAGGUGAAAUUCUUGGAUUUAUUGAAGACUAACUACUGCGAAAGCAUUUGCCAAGGAUGUUUUCAUUAAUCAAGAACGAAAGUUAGGGGAUCGAAGACGAUCAGAUACCGUCGUA
rnacentral:rRNA from 1 species